AUAUACUAUAUACAUACAUAUAUAGAUAUACUAGAAUAUUAAAGAGAAGAUUAGCAAAGCCUCUGUGAAGAGACACAGAAAUUUGUGAAAUAUUCCAUAUUUUG